UACGUAGGGGGCAAGCGUUAUCCGGAUUUACUGGGUGUAAAGGGAGCGCAGGCGGCGUGGCAAGUCAGAUGUGAAAACCCGGGGCCCAACCCCCGGACUGCUCUGGAAACUAUGUUACUGGAGUGCAGGAGAGGUAAGCGGAAUUCCUAGUGUAGCGGUGAAAUGCGUAGAUAUUAGGAGGAACACCAGUGGCGAAGGCGGCUUACUGGACUGUAACUGACGUUGAGGCUCGAAAGCGUGGGGAGCAAACAGG
rnacentral:rRNA from 1 species